rnacentral:rRNA from 1 species
UGCGUAGGCGGGCUAAUAAGUCAGUGGUGGAAUCUCUCGGCUCAACCGGGAAACUGCCAUUGAUACUGUUAGUCUUGAGUUCGGUUGAGGUAGGCGGAAUGUGUAAUGUAGCGGUGAAAUGCUUAGAUAUUACACAGAACACCAAUUGCGUAGGCAGCUUACUAGACCGACACUGACGCUGAGGCACGAAAGCGUGGGGAGCGAACAGGAUUAGAUACCCUGGUAGUC